rnacentral:lncRNA from 1 species
AUCAAUAUAGCCACCUCUACUUUCAAAGCAUAUUAUAUGUAUGUAUACACACAUAUAUACAUAUGUAUAUAUAAUGUUUACAUAAGAAGCAAAUUUUGCAAAUGUUAAAAAUUAUUACAUCUAUGUAAGAUCAUUUCUUGAGGAAAUGAGUUGAUCAGAUUUUGUUGCUGUCAUGGCUAUGGGGCAAGCCCUGUAGCUCGUAUUUUCUGUUAGUCAGUGGGCUCAGAAAGCUGAUACAUGUUCUGCUAGUCUGCUAGAAACUGAUACAGUGCUGCUAUGUAACUCCUUGGCUGCCUGCCACUAUUGUCUGUAAAAUAUAUAUAGGAAACUGAGGGCAGAGAUGGGUGAGGACCUCUUUGCUGUAGCUUGUCAGCUGCCAGAAGCUAGCAGAUUUGUUUCCUGUGUACUUUCACUUGCCACUGUGGGGAUACAGAGGCCCACAGCAAAAUGAAAGGCAGAAGACUGAUGAGUCCAAAUUUUCACCUCAAGCAAAGUCUCCAUUCCACUUCCUCCAUCUGACUUUGUUGAAAAGAGGUGAGAGAGUAAUAACUUUUAUUUGUGAUAGGCUAUUGAGAUCAAGAAGAAUAUAUCAAUUGGUGCUGUGGGCAAGUAUGCCUCAAAGAAAUGUUAUAUCAACAGGAGGUAAACAGCAUGUUUUAGAUAAUUGAAAUAUGCAAGACGCUAAGGAGCAAUUCAGAGGCACACAAAAUAUUGGCAUAUGCACACACAUACACAUUGAGUUUAGUCCUGGCUAUUGUUUGUAGAGAGGGAUUAAUCAUGACUGGUAUAAAUAAACUUUGGUCUGGAAGGAUGUUCCA